rnacentral:rRNA from 1 species
AGCGAACGCUGGCGGCAGGCCUAACACAUGCAAGUCGAACGGACCCUUCGGGGUUAGUGGCGGACGGGUGAGUAACACGUGGGAACGUGCCUUUAGGUUCGGAAUAGCUCCUGGAAACGGGUGGUAAUGCCGAAUGUGCCCUUCGGGGGAAAGAUUUAUCGCCUUUAGAGCGGCCCGCGUCUGAUUAGCUAGUUGGUGGUGUAACGGACCACCAAGGCGACGAUCAGUAGCUGGUCUGAGAGGAUGAUCAGCCACAUUGGGACUAAGACACGGCCCAAACUCCUACGGGAGGCAGCAGUGGGGAAUCUUGCGCAAUGGGCGAAAGCCUGACGCAGCCAUGCCGCGUGAAUGAUGAAGGUCUUAGGAUUGUAAAAUCCUUUCACCGGUGAAGAUAAUGACUGUAGCCGGAGAAGAAGCCCCGGCUAACUUCGUGCCAGCCGCCGCCGUAACAC